rnacentral:misc_RNA from 1 species
AAGGAUGAAUCAAGUUUUGACAAUGGCAUAAACUUUUUAUCCGUGGUCCAAUAGAGGGUGCAGUAGAAAACACAAAUUUGGAUAGAAACUGUUCUUUGAUGCGACCCCAAUUCAUGGGAAUUGCUGAAACCAUAACCAAUUAUCAAUGGGUGGAAGCAGACUAACCUGAGUGGGAAGCUAACAUUUGGGUAGAGAAAUGACAGCCACCUCUGCUUGCUUCCGCUUAUGGGUCCCGAGUCCCAACCUUUAUAGUGGAAUUAAG